UAUAUAGCUCCAAUUAGUGUAAACUGAUUGUAUAGUUUUUCAACCUUUCACAUCACAAUUGAAAUAAUUAAAAAUUGAUAAGAUUUUAAACAAAACCUGAUAAGCUUGUAAGACGUGAAUGGAAUAUUUUUAAAACCCUACGGACUGAUUUAAAUGCAAUCAACGAUGAGACAAGUGAAGAGCUGCAUUGCGGCGUGCUUUUUCUCCAUUUUCUCAAUCCCUCUUGCGUGAGAUUAAUUACAUUGUCAUGUUUACUUUACGUGCAUGGCGCCUUUAAACUGGAUUCCUUUAUACAUACGUCUCUCAGAUGAAAACAAAAGUGUAGUCUAAUCGCAGCUAAGCUACACUUGAAUUUGUACCAAGUUAUUCCAAGAAUCCGAUAUGCUUGACUUGGGGGCCUUCAACUCACAACCCUCUUGUUUGUUUCUUCGACAUGAAUCACAUGAUAUCUACUUCCAAAUUUCUUCUAUUCACUUUCAAUAAUUAAACUUCAUAAUUGAGCUUUCAAACUUGCUGCAACCCUUUGUGCAGAAGGCUGCCUUUUUACUUUAGAAGAAAAAAGCUGCCAAAGAUGAGCAACCUUUACUCAUUAAAAAAUUUGGAAAGUGUUAUACACACACAAUUACAUACAUAUGUGGUCUUACAACUUUUUCAUAUAACAUAAAUAUUGGAUUUGCAUGAGAGAAAUCAAAACUUAUCCAAAGUUAAAGUCGCCUUGUCAUACUGCUUUUCCUUUCUGCUGCAAUUUUGACUAUAUGUGUAUAUAUAUAUAU
rnacentral:lncRNA from 1 species